rnacentral:rRNA from 1 species
CUGCUGCCUCCCGUAGGAGUCUGGGCCGUGUCUCAGUCCCAGUGUGGGGGGCCUUCCUCUCAGAACCCCUACGCAUCGUCGCCACGGUGGGCCGUCACCCCGCCGUCUAGCUAAUGCGCCGCAUGCCCAUCCGCCACCGGAUCGCUCCUUUGGCCACCGGAGGAUGCCCUCCGGUGGCGUCACGGGGUAUUAGGCCGCGUUUCCGCGGGUUACCCCCCUGUGGCGGCCAGGUUGCAUACGUGUUACUCACCCGUGCGCCGGUCGCCGGCGGG